GCCUGAUCCUUCCUCUGGAAGCUUCAUCCCAGAGGGGCACCCGCCUAUAUGAGGUAUCUCUUGGCCCCUACUGGGAAGUGUCUCCCAGUUAGGCUACACGGGAGUCAGGGACCCACUUGAGGAGGCAGUUUGUCCAUUCUCAGAGCUCAAACACCAUCCUGGGAGAACCAUCGCAGUCUUCAGAGCUGUCAGACUCGGGCAUUUAAGUCUGUAGAAGUUGUCUGCUGCCUUUUGUUCAGCUAUGCCCUGACCACAGAGGUGGAGUCUAUAGAGGUGUUAGGCCUUGCUGAGAUGCGGUGGGCUCCACCCAGUUUGAGCUUCCUGGCUGCUUUGUUUACCUACUCAAGCCUCAGCAAUCGCAGACGUCCCUUCCCCAGCCAGGCUGCCACCUCGCAGUUCAAUCUCAGACUGCUGUGCUAGCAGUGGGGAAGGCUCCGUGGGCAUGGAAACUGCCGAGCCAGGCACAGUAGAGAAUCACCUUGUCUGCCGGUUGCUAAGACCUUUGGAAAAGUGCAGUAUUUGGGUGAGAGUGUCCUAUUUUUCCAGGUACAGUCUGUCACGUCUUCCCUUGGCUAGGAAAGGGAAAUCCCCCGACCCCUUACACUUUCCGGGUGAGGCAACGCCCCACUCUGCUUCAGCUCACCCUCCAUGGGCUGCACUCACCUUCCAACCAGUCUCAAUGAGAUGAACCAGGUACCUCAGUUGGAAAUGCAGAAAUCACCCGUCUUCUGCGUCAAUCACGCUGAGAACUGCAGACCAGAGCUGUUCCUAUUUGGCCAUCUUGGAACCGGUCUGAGUCUGUUUUAGCCAGAUCAAGUACUUGGUUAGACUUCUCCUAUGGAGAAUGCAGCAAGAAAAUACCAUCUUGAAGCAGAGAGCAGCGCUCAUCAGGCAUCAGUCCUUCUGGAGCCUUGAUCUUGGACCUCCCAGCUCCAAAAUAAUAAGUAAUAAAUUGUUAUUGCUUAUAAAUU
rnacentral:lncRNA from 10 species